GAAAACCUGUCCCCGUCCCUCGUAGCGUUGGGCAGGUCUCCUCCCUCCCUGGGCCGCUGGUUGCGCGCGGGUCGGCAGGAGGACACCCCGUCCUCCGACUUUGGUUCGGAGGCUCCUCGCCCUCCACCUGCGUAGUCGGAGGUGUGCGCGGCUGCAGCUCCGACUACCUGGGAGCGGUUCCGCGCCUCCCCCCACAGUUACCAGGUGACAGGGGUGUUUAUGAAGAACUGGGACUCACUGGAUGAACAUGGGGUCUGUACUGCCGACAAAGACUGUGAAGACGCUUACAGAGUUUGCCAGAUCUUAGACAUCCCUUUCCAUCAAGUGUCCUACGUAAAGGAGUAUUGGAACGAUGUGUUCAGUGAUUUUUUGAAUGAGUAUGAAAAAGGAAGGACUCCCAAUCCUGACAUAGUUUGCAACAAGCACAUCAAAUUCAGUUGCUUUUUUCAUUAUGCUGUGGAUAAUCUUGGGGCAGAUGCCAUUGCCACAGGUCACUACGCAAGAACUUCACUGGAAGAUGAAGAAGUCUUUGAGCAGAAGCACAUUAAGAAGCCAGAAGGGCUUUUCAGAAAUCGGUUUGAAGUUAGAAAUG
rnacentral:sRNA from 1 species